rnacentral:lncRNA from 1 species
GUCCCUUAUCUCCCUUCUCUUUCCAGCGACCCCGCCACCCCUAGCCUCUCGUCUCCGCCGCCCUCUCCUCUUCACUCGCGCCACCAUGCGUCAUCGAUGCCACUGUCGACCCUUCUCCAUCUACGGAAUCGUAACAUUUGCACGAACUAUAUUAACUUAUCAUCAACCUUAGAACCGAACUUCUCUCUUGCUACAGGUUUAUUUUUAAUUUCAAACACAUGUAGGAUAGAAAAUAGGUAUAUGUAAUUAAUUAUUUACCUGUCGUACCUCCAAACAUGAAUCCUAGCAGAUGAGUCCCCUCUCGGAGAUCCAAUCUCUCGUCGCAGGGAGAGGGGACAGCGGCCCGGCAGCAGCCGUCCAAGCGAGGCCCAGCAGCAGGGCCAGUAGUAGUGAGUGGGGCGAUAUCGGCCCGCGGCUGCUGGGAGUUAGUGCAGUGAUGGCGCCAGCUCGAUAUAUCAGUCAGUGGCCGGCGAAUUGGCUCCAGUUUAAUGAGCCGAGAGCAAGAGCAGGAGCAGGACUGCAGGUGCAGGUGCACAGUGUGGUGGCUGGCUGCAUCGAGAGGAGAGAGGGGAGGGAGGAAUCGAGGUGGUUGACCCCGAGAUUAAUAGGCCUUCAAUUCACGAUCCGAUUCCCUCCACCUCACGACGAACAUGCAUAUGCAGCUGCAGUUGCAUUGCAUUCAACUGAUCGCUGAGCGCCACCCGGCCCAUUGACCAGGACCUCCUCCCAUCCGCCCAGCUAGCGCCAUUUCUUUGCUAGCCACGCCAUUCCACUCUCCGUCUCCUUUCCGCUGCUGCUUCGCACUGCCGGG